rnacentral:rRNA from 1 species
AGCGAACGUUAGCGGCGGGCUUAACACAUGCAAGUCGAACGAGAAUGGAGGAGCAAUCCUUCUAGUAAAGUGGCGGACGGGUGCGUAACACGUGGACAAUUUACCUUCCGGCGGGGGACAACAGUUCGAAAGGACCGCUAAUACCGCGUACGUCGGCGAGGGCUCCGGCCCUUGUCGAGAAAGAUGGCCUCUCCUUGGAAGCUGUCACCGGAAGAUGAGUCCGCGGCCCAUCAGCUAGUUGGUGAGGUAACGGCUCACCAAGGCUAAGACGGGUAGCUGGUCUGAGAGGAUGAUCAGCCACACUGGGACUGCGACACGGCCCAGACUCCUACGGGAGGCAGCAGUGGGGAAUAUUGGGCAAUGGGCGAAAGCCUGACCCAGCCACGCCGCGUGAGUGAUGAAGGCCUUCGGGUCGUAAAGCUCUGUGGGGGGGGACGAACAAGCCUGGGGCUAAUCACCCGGGCCCUGACGGUACCCCCUUAGCAAGCACCGGCUAACCAUGUGCCAGCAGCCGCGGUAAUACAUGGGGUGCAAACGUUGCUCGGAAUCAUUGGGCGUAGAGCGCGCGUAGGCGGUCGCUUAAGUCGGAUGUGAAAUCCCUCGGCUUAACUGAGGAAGUGCACCCGAGACUGAAUGGCUAGAGUACGAAAGAGGGUCGCGGAAUUCCCGGUGUAGAGGUGAAAUUCGUAGAUAUCGGGAGGAACACCGGCGGCGAAGGCGGCGACCUGGUUCGAGACUGACGCUGAGGCGCGAAAGCGUGGGGAGCAAACAGGAUUAGAUACCCUGGUAGUCCACGCCGUAAACGAUGGAUGCUAGAUGUUUCUGGUAUUGACCCCGGAGGCGUCGUAGCUAACGCGUUAAGCAUCCCGCCUGGGGAGUACGGCCGCAAGGCUAA